rnacentral:misc_RNA from 1 species
UGUGUCUUCCAGAAUGGACACCUUCCCGAAGUGUUCUGUCUGUCAGCGGCAGUUUACCCUGAAAAGCCCCGCCCCUACCUACUGCCCUGUCUACACGCUGUGUGUGAGACGUGUGUGACAACUGCUGCUAGUGGCGUGAUAUCAUGCUCUACAUGUCACAGGGAGGUCAACCUCACGGAAGCAAGUCUCAGAAGGAUGAAGUUAGGCAACAAGAAAUAUUCCACCUGGCAAUCAAACAUUAUCCCACAAAGCUUCUCUGUACACAUGAAGAUGACGGAAACCAGGCUGUGUUUUGGUGUCAGGAGUGUGAGGAGUUACUCUGUGAAUUCUGCCAGAACAUGCACAACAGCUUCAGACACUCAAGAAACCACCCCUUGUACAACUUUGGGGGAUAUUGCCCCUCAAAAUCUAGUGUGUGAAACAAAUUGCAGAAUACACAAUCGUUAUCCUCUUGAUUUGUUUGACAAAAGAUGCAACACAUCUAUCUGUAGCCGAUGUUUGAGAGGAGAGCAUGCUGGUCACGAGGUGGAAGAUCUGGAUGAGGCAGCUUUAGGAGGUAAACAACGGAUUGAACAACACGUCAAAGAUCUAUCCUCGCUACUGUCUGAUCAGCAAACACAUCUUCAGAGCAUCAGACAAGACAUAAAGUUUACAGACGGGACACAGAACACACUGACGGAAACUAUUGCACUGACGUUCCAGUCGUUAAGGUCUCAACUUGACCAGAGGGAGAAAGAACUCCUGAUAGAUCUUGAAAGUCAGACAAAGGAAACCAAGGAAACUCUACAUGCUCUUCAAACCUCGUGUGAAACCGAACAUGUCAGAUGCAACGAUGUUUCAGGAUACAUUAGGAAGAGUCUUCUCUAUGCCUCGAAGUCGGCACUCCUGAAGCUUGAGAGUUCUGUUGAUAGGGUAACUCGGACCUACCUAGAAACUGCUUCACCUCAAACAUAUGAUGUUGCAACAGCUGUCUUCAACACCAACGGUCUGUCCAAACUGAAGUCAGAUAUGUCUGGAUUUGGUACCAUCACUGCUUUGAAAGAGGAAACAGCAAGAGACAGGACCGAUGAUGCUAGCUGAGAAAGACAGAAGCUUACAGGCCGCUUCAGAAACUAUCAAUCGUCUACAAACAUUCCUGAAUAGUUGCCCUACUGGAGGCUGCGUCCAUGUGCUGAAGACGGCUGUGCCAGACAGACACAUGGUGCUGCAUUGUGAGUACAUAAUUACAUCUAU